CUAAUAAUAAUAAUACUAAUAAUAAAAAAAUGCUUUUUACUCGAUGUAUCAAUGUCCACAGAUUACAGCGUUUCUCUAAAAGAAACGGAGAAACUUUCAAAAUACAAACAUCUGGAAAUAGUGGUAACUCGAAUGUGGCGCCUAAAAACAGAAAGAAUUUGAAUUAUAGAAGAUGCAUUAGGUAUAUAUAA